rnacentral:rRNA from 1 species
UACGAAGGGGGCUAGCGUUGUUCGGAAUUACUGGGCGUAAAGCGCACGUAGGCGGAUAUUUAAGUCAGGGGUGAAAUCCCAGAGCUCAACUCUGGAACUGCCUUUGAUACUGGGUAUCUGGAGUAUGGAAGAGGUGAGUGGAAUUCCGAGUGUAGAGGUGAAAUUCGUAGAUAUUCGGAGGAACACCAGUGGCGAAGGCGGCUCACUGGUCCAUUACUGACGCUGAGGUGCGAAAGCGUGGGUAUCAAACAGG